rnacentral:rRNA from 1 species
UACGUGAGGGGCAAGCGUUGUCCGGAUUUAUUGGGCGUAAAGAGCGUGUAGGCGGCCUGAAAGGUCAGCUGUGAAAACUCGAGGCUCAACCUCGAGACGUCGGUUGAAACCAUCUGGCUAGAGUCCGGAAAGAGGAGUGUGGAAUUCCCGGUGUAGCGGUGAAAUGCGCAGAUAUCGGGAAGAACACCCGUGGCGAAGGCGGCACUCUGGGACGGUACUGACGCUGAGACGGCGAAAGCGUGGGGAGCGAACAGG